rnacentral:rRNA from 1 species
GUCCUGUUGAUUAUAAUUUCAGGUCGGACCUGCUCGAUGAGUAAUUUAAAUGGCCGCGGUAUAUUGACCGUGCAAAGGUAGCAUAAUCAUUAGUUUUUUAAUUGGAAGCUGGAAUGAAUGGUUUAAUGAAGAAAUUUCUGUCUCUUUAAAAAUUUAUUAGAAUUUUAUUAUUAAGUGAAAAUGCUUAAAUAGAUGUAGAAGACGAGAAGACCCUAUAGAGUUUUAUAUUUAUUUUAAGAUUUUUUUUUAAGAAGUAAGUGAUUAUUUUUGAAAGUAGUAUUUUAUUGGGGUGAUAGAAAAAUUGAUUAAACUUUUUUUAAAAUUGAACAUUUUUAUGUGAGUUUUUGAUCCUUUUAUAGAGAUUGGAAGAUUAAAUUACCUUAGGGAUAACAGCGUAAUUUUUCUUAGAGUUCUUAUCGAAAGAAGAGAUUGCGACCUCGAUGUUGGAUUAAAAUUUUUUUUUGGCGGAGAAGCUAGAAUAAAAGGUCUGUUCGACCUUUAAAGUUUUACAUGAUCUGAGUUUAAACCGGCGUGAG